GCUUGUUCCUAUUAGAAAGGGCCAUUAUUUCAUGCUUUGUUUUGAAGAGACCUCCAUGAUGGCCACUUUAUCUUGCCACCAUAAAGAGCAGGAGCUUGCAGGGACAGCCAAGCUUUCAAGUUCAACAUCCCUCACUUCGUGUAUAAGGCAUGGCUUGAAGGCACAGCUUUCAGCUUAACUCAAAGCCCAAAUGCUCUAUGGUCAAGACAAAGCAAUAGAUCAGGACCCUUGGAACCUUUGAUGGACUGCUGUUUCCUGCCUCUACGAGCUGUCCAUUUCUCUGCUGCCCAUCAGUCCAUGCUAAACUGUUGGAACAGACUUUGUUGCAAGACCUCCGGGACACAGGGGAGGAGUGGAGCUGUGGAGAGGAUGACGGCAUGUCUGGAGGGAUAACAGUGGAUAGUGAGAAAACAGAGAAGAAAGGUAAAGCCGGGAAUGGAAGGAUGGCUGCCUGUGACAACGCUGGAUUUAUGUUGAAAGGCAUCGGCUGAGGCGUCCAAAAGCCACAAAUCAUCUCGCUCCCUCUGUGUGUGCCACCGUGACUAACUCAAAUGCAGAAUGUGUGAACAUACACACACGGCUUCAUCUGAUGUAAGGAAAGGUGAAGAGAGAGCUGGAACUAGGAAGAGAAAAUGGAAAUGGAGAUCUCAGAGAUAUCUGAAAGUGAGAGAAGAGGAGAGGAGAGGACACAAGGGGAGUAGAUGUAAAGGGAACUGCUCAGCUCAGAUCAGCUAAGAAGGAAGAAGGCAGAGCUAGAUAUCCAGGGGGUUUGUGUUAUGAACAGAUAAAGCACACAGUCUGGGAGACAACACAUGGCUUUUGAGGGAGAAAUAUACAGUGGAUAGCUGAGGAUUAAGACUGACCAGUCGAGUGAGAAAGAGACCAAUAUAGAACAACAGAGAGAGAGAGAGAAGACAGAGUCUCAGGGGUCUUAGUGCUACAUGCUUGGGAUGUUCUUUAUUCCCUGGUGCUGGCCCAUUCCCCAGUCCCUGAUUGGACUAUGCGGCUUUGAACCCGGGGCUUUUGGAAAGAGCAGGGCUCCCAGGGUGACUCAUGGCCACAACAAAGACACCGGCAAAACGCCAAGUAAGUCACAACAGCCUUUUCCCUCAGGUCAUCGGCAGAAUUCAGCAUGGGCUGCCCCUCCUCUGCCAAUCAGCAUGAAAUCAGCGUUAAUAACCUCCAUCGCAAGGUUCUUACAUUAACCCCCUUCUGUUUUAUUCCUCUACUCAUACUCAGGGUGAAAUUAGGCCAAUUAUUCAUUACUGGAGGAAGACUGACACCAUCGUCCACCCCUUUAUCAUUCAUAUGAACAGAAAACGUCCACUCUUAAAGCUGCAGUAAUUCAGACUUUCAUAUUAACAAUGGGUCAAAUCAUUAUGUGUAAUGUGAAAGUUGUCGAACGCACAAUCACCUGACUUUAAACACAAUGGACCAUUUAGGAGCUGAAGAGACAGAGACAAUAUAAGAAUGUCCUCAAAGGAGCUGGUGGAGAUCAAACCAGAGCUAAAACAGACUGAAUACUGGACUUGCAUUAGUGGGGUGACUAAAAACACAAUUCCACAUAAAUACAAAUGUUGCUCCAUGUCUGCUGAUGUAUAAACAGGCAACUGGUUGCUAAGAAGUUUGCCAUAUCAGCUGUAUAAGGGGAUAAUUUGUCAGUGUUGUCUCUACAGAUUGCCUAGAUUUUACUAUUUGUCUUCUGUUUUCCAAAUAAGUUUGACCAACCGUGGAGUUUGUCUAAAGCCUGUAUAAUUGUCUUCUACUUUGUCUACAAACAACCAUUGAAUUCAGCAUAAAUAUGUCACGGUGGAGGUGCAGUUGGACGCAAUAUGCUGAUACACAAGAGUUGAAGACAAAAUGAGUUUUUUUUAAGGCACAAAGAACAUGUCACCAGGUGGAGGAGAGAGAGGACAGAGACAGAGCAGGUUCUGGACAGAACAGGCAGGCAGACAGCGUGAGCUGACAGGAGAUGAGGCAGGCAGGCAGUGUGGAGAACCAGGAAGUACAGAGCUUGAGAGUGCAAGGCCGGGAAACGGAAAACUGAAGAGUGCAGAGUCAAAGAUGAAGCACUGGAGCUGGGGAGCAGAGAGCACCGAGUUGGGGAACGGCGAGUUGGAGAAUGCAGAGUUGGAAAAGUAGAGCUGGGGCUGGGGAGGGGGGGACACAGAGCUGGAGAGUGUCGAGACGGGAACGGAGAGCUGGAGCUUUGGGUAGCAGGUGAGAAUAACAUAACAGGUGAGAAUUGGCAAUGAACCAGCAGGGAGCAAACAGAAAAGGGGCGUAUAUGUAGGGCACUGAAUCGGGAGAUAACGAGUAGCAGGUGGAUGCAAUAAUGGGUGAUUGUGCUCACUGAGGACGUGACCGAGAAUCCGGGGAGAAAAACAACUAAAAAACCAUGACAAAAUGAAGGAUAUCAUUCCAAAUAUUUAAUAAAUGAAUAGCAAAUAUCAAUUGGAGUUUACAGUUUUUUCAUGCAACUUCAUCUGGAAGCCAAUAAUAAACUUAAGCAAAACAAGGAAACCCCACAUACAGUAAAUCUUUGAGUUACUUCUAGUUUACCCCAAUUCAGAGUUCAGUAAAGUUCAAAAUGGAAUUAUUUUACUGAUGUCUACUGAUCUGUCUCUUUGAAGUGCAAAUUACUGUUCUUGAGUAUCCAGCCAAAGUAGAGUAAUUUAAAAUGGAUUCUAAAUGCCAAAUCAUAAAAAACAGUUUAUUCUUCUCAGUCAUUGAACUCUCUAACAAACUAUCAUAAAUUAUAUGAAGCACGCUCAAGCCAAGAAACACAAUGCUGCUACAAUUUGUUAUGCUUGAUGCAAAAAAGAGUGUGAAACAGUCAGAUUUACAUCAUCCUUUCUGCUUUUGUUGGAGGGUGUGAGAGGCUUCAGGACUCACAACUGCUGCUAUUAACUGGGAGGCUGAGUUCUGCCGAGACAAACACCAGUGCCAUUCAAGUGGU